UAGCAACUAGACAAAAAACAAAAACAGAAAAUAUUUUGAUUUUCUGUUUUUGCAUUUCAAUCAAUUAAUCAAUCCAGUUUAUUUCGACUUCAGAGGUUUUGAUGUGGAUCUGAAACCUUUUAUAUUUACCCGGACUUUUAAACUAACAAAGAGAAAAGUGCAUUUUGUGUUCUUGCUGCUUUACUUGUGAUCGUCGUCUCACCCAGCAGGCGUCACACCUGAGCAGAAACGCACCAACUAACAACGGCAGAGGUGGGCAGAGUAUCCAGAAAUUACACUCAAGUAAAACUAUUUGGUAAAAAGUUUACUCAAGUACUGAGUAACUGAUCAAAUUAUCAGUUAUUUAAUAUUUAAAAAUUACCUCAUCAGUGGGUAGAGAACCCAGAAGUUUUACUCAAAUAAGAGUAGAAAUACUUCAUAAUAAAAUUACUCAAGUAAAAGUAAAAACUUAAAUUUUUUUUCAAAAAGGUUAUUCAAGUAAAUGUAACUGAGUAAAUGUAAUUAGUUACCACCCAACUCUGCCUAAAUGCAGUCAGUUUUGUUGAACAAAUGUCAAAGAAAUCCUAUUUUCUUGCUGUGAAAGAAGCGAGAAAAUAUUUCUGAAAUUGUUGCUUUCAGAAAGAUUCGAUUUGCAUCAUGUUUGGCAAAACCUGCAACCCCUCUGAUGAGCGUGACGCGCUGCGAAUCGACGUCCAAUCUGGUUUCUGCUCAGAUGUGGUGAAGGUUGCAGAAAUCCCCGAGCUCUGCGGCUCUCCAGCAUCUCUGCCGGAGUCGGCAGCGAUGCGGCGAAUGUUGGAGAGGUGAUUUCAUGAACCGCCUGCUGGGCAACAUGCUAGGGUUGCUGUCUCUCAUGGGAGAAGAACUUGUUUUUGUUGCUUUAUAUUUAUUUUCAGAACUUAUUAAGAGACUUUAAAGACUUGUUCAAACAUUUUGUGAAGCUCACCUGGACGGUGAGACGUUUAUUUUUGGUUUUUUUAGCAGUGUAUGUAGAGGAGGAUGCAGAGGAGGCUCAGGAGAGACGGAGGACAGACUGAACAAAGCUGUGUUGAAUCGGUUUGACUGCAGAGAUGAGACGAGCCGGCUUCCAGCGGCUCUCUGCCAGUUGCUUAGUAACUGGUGUUUUCAGCUAAAGUCUACAGUCAAAAUGUCCAAAUUAAAGAGGACCUGAAGGAACAAGUGACCAACGCAAACACAUUCCUCCCAGCGGCACAUUUUGUCGGUUUGCUACAGAAAGGGACGUCAGCGGCAGCAUGGCGUCUCGCUGCUUUACUGACAUCAACAGCGGGGCCCCCCUCAGGCGACCUGCACACACUCUGCCGUAAUGGGCCUCCUCAUGGUUGGAGGUCUCCUGUCAAAUCUCGGAGCUGAAAACCCCCCCGGGAGAAGAGCGAGGGUUUGAAGUCGGAAUAAAGAUUCAGACGGGGGAGAGAAAGCAGCUCUCCUCUGGGCUUUUUCUCGCAGCCAGAUGGGCAGAGAGCCUGGAGCGAUCUUCCUCCCUCCUCCUCCUGUUCCUCCUCCUCAGCAGGACCCAAUCUUCUCUUCGCUUGGUAAAUCUUUAGGUUUCUGAAGAUCUCCGGAGGGGGCUUCGCUGCAAGGAAGGUGACCGAACCUUUACCUGAAAGGAACAAAAAACUGACAGAAAGUUUUACAGGAUGGUUUUUGUUUUUUUAAUUUCCUCUCUGAGGGAGAAGGAGACUUUUCUUCCUGUCCUUAUCAGAGCCUCUGCUGAUUGAGAUCAGCAUGAUCAGGUGGAAUCAAGGAUAUGAAAUCUUAUCAAUUUGAAUUACGACUGGAUUUUAUUGUGUUAAAAGUUGAAGAAGGAUUUUUUGUAUUAUUAUUAUUAUUAUUAUUAAGUUCUGGAGUGCCUCCCGUCAAUCCCAGACGGAGAUCUCCAGCGGAUCAGAGAUGGAGUAUGAAACUAUUCAUUCAUUUAUUCAUUCGUUUAUCCACCCACCCUCCCAUCAGGGUGUCUUCAGAUUGAAGCUGUAACCAUUGAACGGUUUGUUAUUCACAUUUUUCCAUUUAAUUACAGACGAAAUCACCGUCUCUUCACUCUCAUUAACUCAAUGUCUCUGAUUGCUGUUCAAUGGCAGUUUGUGAUUCAUAAUAUUAGCUUCUCAGGCAUGAAUCAACUGCUGUGUUUAACAAAGUCUAUAUUUUAUAUCUUUAUUUAUGAUUAAGAUUUCAUCUGUUUUAAAUUAUCUGCAAAAGUUUCAGAUAAAUUCUGUCUUAUUUGCCUCACAGAAAACUUGAUAGUGGGUAUUAAAAGUCUGUACAACCAUGUUGAAAUUUCAGCUUUUUUGAUGCAAACAUAACUUUAUUUUAUCAUCUGGGGGUGAAAAAAGACCUUUUAAAUGGUGACAGGUGAUACUCAUUUUCUACUAACAUGAGCUUUAAGGUGAAAAUUAAUUCUGAAAACAGGAUUAAGAGAAUUUCAGCAUUUUCAGUUGUUAUUUAUUUAUUCUUCCCCCUUCAAGAUUUUAGUGUGUACCUAAAGUGAGAUAUUUAGGUAAGAGACUUUAAUCUCAAAAUUCUGAUUUUAAUCUCAAUAUUCUCAGUUUGUCUCUGGAAUCUGACUUUUAAUCUCAAAAUUCUGAUUUUAAUCUCAGAAUUCUCAGAUUUAAAAACUCAAUCUGGGAUUAAACUCACAAUUAUCACUUUAAAAUAAUAAAAAAUUCCCUUUUUUUUCUCAUAAUUAUCACUCUAAACUCAGAAAUCUGACAUUUUUUCCAGAAUCAGAGUUGUCCAUGAGACAGACAUGGUGUUAACACUGAAAUCUACCAAAUAAAUUUGGCACAGCCUUUCAGUGCAGCUUUACAAAUCUUUUGUUACAUGAUUAUUUUCAUUUGCUAACUGCACACACUUAAGAAUGUUUGGCUAUUUAUUUGAAUUUACACAAAAUUAGAAAUAUGAGUUGAGCUCUUAGAUAAAAGUCAAAAUUUGGGACUUAAAGUAAAAAAAUGUAUUGAUUUUUUUUUGUAGGUGGCACUAACCCUCUUCCAUAUAAUCACACUAAAUAUGGAUUUUUUUUUUAAACUAAAACAAAAUGAAAACCUGCCAUUUCAACAUGAGUGUAGAGGUUUUUAUACCCGCUCUUGUACAGCAGAAACAUUUAUUUUCCAAGUGUGAUGACGCUCAUAACCACUUCAUAUCCCGUCUUGUAAACACACUCACUCAUAGAGAGGAAAUGCUGCCCUGCACAAACUACCGCUGACUGUCCCAGCGUCUCACUGCCGAACUAAACCCGUUCCUCUCCUCCAUUCCUCCGUCCUCACUGCCGAUUUAUACCUUUACUCACUUUAUCUCUUCUCCUCUCCCUCCACUCUCAUUGGAUUUUUUUAAUCUCCGCUGGCUUUGCCACCUUGACAGGUAAAUACAUUUGAGUUGCUAAAGCUCAUAAAGGAGUAAAAUGGUGAUAAAGGAAGAAAAUAAUUCUCCAAGACGUCUCACUGUCUUAUCUUUUCACUUGCUCUCGCGCCUGUCUCCCCUUGAAAGAGCUAAAACUCUCAUUACUCCGCUGUCAGCUGCUGCAGAAACACAGAAAAAAAACCUGUGUAGGCUUUUCACUGCAAAAACACAAAACCUUAACAAGUAU